rnacentral:lncRNA from 1 species
ACGAAUUUUUCCCAUAUAAGCAAGCACCAAUUCAUUCACAAUGAAGAGAGAUAAUUUCUAAGAAGAAAAAAAAUAAGAAGCCUAUACAGGUGACGAGAUUUCCAUAUCUAAAUCAUCAACAUAGCAUCAGGUUAGUCCCUAUUUUGUUCAUGUUCUUGAUUCCAACUCAAAGUAGCAUAAAUCAGGUCACUUUAAAGUUAAUUGUAUAUAUAUAUAUUAUGAUGCUUGUAUGCAACUGAUUUAAUAAAAAACGAGUGGAAUUACAGAAAAGGGCACAUCUAAUAAGAGUAAACUAGAUACUGAUUUGUAAAGAAAUAUGUGUUGUAGAUUUCACUUGCUAUCACAUCCGUAUGGUGUCUCUUGGCAUUCAGUGUGCAUAAAUAAACAAUAAACUUGUGUAAAGAAGUGUAAAUCAAUUGAAAGUAAGCACUUAAUUAAAUUAAGAGGUACAUACCAAGCAGCUUUUAUCUUCCUUGACUUAGAUUUUCUGCGUGUGUUAAUGGAGGAUUAAACACUUAGUUGCAUUUUGUUGUCUCCGGUUGGGUUUCUCUAUGCGUUAAUGGUCGAAUAAAUUCAAUAAACAGCUAAAGUAAUCCCAGCAAUCAGUGAUAAAUUAUUUAUUCAAAAGGAUUUUAUCAUUAUCUGUUAAGAUUUUGUUUCAUGAUCUGUUAAGUUUUAAAAUUCAUAUAUUAUUUGGUGAUAAUCUUAUAUCUUUUUCUCCUAUGUUAAAUUAAAAAAUCAAUAUUUUUUUAUGAUAAUCGUAUUUUGUUUUGGCAUAUCUUGAUAUGAUAAAGUUUAGAAUAUAGAUAUACUGUUUUACUGACGAUGUGUUUCAUGUCUGCAGAGUGAAGACAUUGAACAAAUUUUCCAACGUUACCCUCCUAGCUACACACAAGACAAAACUUCAUCUCAACUGUACACAUGUUUGUAAUUGAGUGGAAUUACAUAAAAAAAAUCAAGCUAAACAAUCCCAUAAAUGGUAAUUAUAUUUAGAACCUGGAAUCAGAAUCUUGUCAAGGGUAUUUGGUGUGGACCUUGCAUCUAGCUAUAUUCAUAGUUGGUGCCAUAGAGUUAUUACCCACUAGAAUUUCAUGACCUACGUCUUGACUUUUAAUCAAAUUCUACAAACUUUUUUUUUAUUGUUCUAGCUUCCUGUUGCUCUUGUUUUUUUUUUUUCUAAUAUAUUGUGGUGGGGAAUUAUGGAUGAUUUUGCCCUUGCUUUCAUUUUGCCAUUCAGAUGAGGCAUGAAUUUAGCCUAAAAUACUCAAUGCAGAAAGUAGUUACCUGGUUAAGUUGUGUUAGAUCAAUCUUCGUAAUUGGUUGGUUGUUGGAUUAUAGACGAUUCCAUAUGUUCCCAUAGUUGUGUGAAGUUGAUCUCUGUUUUUGUCUGAUCUAAAUGAUAAUAAGUCAGAUUCCAAUUUUAGAUAGCCCUUACCCUUUCCCUAACAUUACGUUUCUGACUCUUCCUGAUGUGUUACGAAACCUUGUUCACUUAACUCAAGAUUAUGUAACAUGUUGAAAAUGUAUAUAUCUACUUGUUGACAGGUGGGGUUUAUGAUGUUUUGCUUAUGGUUUUGGUGUUUCAGCUACAACAAUAUCAAUGGAGGGAUUGAAGGUAUCUAAUGCAGAAUUGGUGUUGUAUUUCUAACCAUCAAAGUGCAUCAGAGGACAUCUUUUGUGAACUAAGUUCAAUUCUUUUUAAUAUAUAGUCUUAAUUUAAUGUAAUUUAUUGAACUUGACUAUGUUUUCAUGUAAUUCUAGAUCAUUGGUUAAAAAUAGUAUAUACAUGAAAGUAAAUUGAUGUCUAUACAUCAAUCGUUAAAAAAAAAAAACAUGAUGCCAAUACAAAUAAUAAUACAAUAUACAAUAUAAG